UACAGAGGGGGCAAGCGUUGUUCGGAAUUACUGGGCGUAAAGGGCGCGUAGGCGGCCUGCUAAGUCGAACGUGAAAUCCCUGGGCUCAACCCAGGAACUGCGUCCGAUACUGGUUGGCUUGAAUCCGGGAGAGGGAUGUGGAAUUCCAGGUGUAGCGGUGAAAUGCGUAGAUAUCUGGAGGAGCGGCGGUGGGGAGGGCGGCAGGGUGGGCGGGUAGUGGGGGUGAGGCGCGAAAGCCAGGGGAGCAAACGGG
rnacentral:rRNA from 1 species